UCAGUCUUUUUUCAAAGCUGCAUAGAAACUGUUUUUGUGCCCUAUCCAGAGUGAAGAUGGUGAGUGCUGUAUCCAGAACCUGAGAACCCCGCAAGCAAUCACUUGCCUGUGUAUUGACCAAGUUAAUGGCUUCAUUGUGGCUGGAGUCCAUGAUACCAUCAGGGUUUAUGACCCAAAAUCUGGGGUACAAGUACAAAGUUACACAGGUCAUGAAGACACAAUCAAGGGUCUGAUCCAUAUCCCAGAAAUGAAACAGUAUAUGUCGGUAUCACUGGAUGGCACAGCAUGCAUGUGGAAAGCCUGUCGCCCAGAGGAUGAGCCUGAAGACUAGGUCAAGUUGGUGACUUUAAUCUCCGCUGUGUGUUACUCAGGACCUGGAUUCUGGGCAUCUCUGGCUCUAUCUGAAUGAAUUGUAUAGUUCUACCCGGGUCACUGUCUCUGCAAGAAACUNAGAAGCUAAGAAAUCUCUGGGUGGAGUUUGCUUCCUGUUGUCUUUCAUAGCUCUGGCCUCUGCUCUGCCCCUCCCUGUGGUUCACUUUCCAACUCAUUUUUUUGCCCUCGCACUCCAUGCAAAAAAUACUCGUUUGUGANAAACAUUUGCAGUGAAGAUACUUUGUGCUGACUAAGUUGACAUCAGGCAAUUAGAACAUUGUGGAUACAGGAUUUGGGGGCUGGCUUUGCUGCUGUUGUCUGCCCAUGUCUGCUGCCCUUAAAUUAGAUUUGGGCAUGAAAGAGAUAAGCAAUUUGUCGAUUUAGGCCAGAAUGCAAGUACUUCAAAGAGCCAGACACACCAGCGAUUAGAUAUCCUCAGCCGGCCUGAAGCUUUGCAGGAAGUGUUUCUGUNAGUGAGUCAUCUCUAUACGAGCAUAGAGUCAUC
rnacentral:lncRNA from 1 species